CACACAUAGAUGCCUGACUGUCUGAAAGCCCUGUCACCAAGGUAACGCACACAUAGAUGCCUGACUGUCUGAAAGCCCUGUCACCAAGGUAACACACACAUAGAUGCCUGACUGUCUGAAAGCCCUGUCACCAAGGUAACACACACACAGAUGCCUGACUGUCUGAAAGCCCUGUCACCAAGGUAACACACAUACAGAUGCCUGACUGUCUGAAUGCCCUGUCACCAAGGUAACACACACAUAGAUGCCUGACUGUCUGAAAGCCCUGUCACCAAGGUAACACACACAUAGAUGCCUGACUGUCUGAAAGCC